CAAGAUUGUUUAGGCAGGACCUUCAUUUGGUGAAGUCAUGCAGGGGGAAAUCUCCUUCCUUUCAACAGAACUGGAACUCCCAAGCAGGUUCUCCAGCUGAUUAGAACCCAGUGAAGCAGCCCAUGGCAAAGAUGGAUACAGAGACUGUGGCUUUUGCAAGGCUGCAGCAUUUGCCAAGUCUAUGAAGGUUUUGAAUAGGCCUUAGGAAAGAACAGAACAACCUUGUGAGAGAAACCUGAGGAGAACAGAGGAUAUGGCCAGAAGAGACUUAUAUGUAAGCAUCAAUCCUUCUAUCCAAAGUGAGUUUUCUUAAUCUAAAAAGUGGAGCUUUUACUAAAAGCAAAGAAGUAUUUUUUGAGGUAAUAUUCUACCAGUGAAGAGCCUGGGCACCCUGAGCCUACCUCUCCAGCCUGCAUACCACCUCUUUAUGAACAGUGUCCUGUCUGUGUUGAACAGUGAUGGGAGUGGUUCUGCCUUCACCCUCAAUAUUGUAAAUCACUUAUCACACUUAUCUGUGCAGUAACAUCAAACUAAAACCUACAAGGGAUCUGGCAGUGUUAUUGGUGAAAAACUGCUCAGUUUAUGUCUUGAAUCAUUCUCAGAACAAACUAUGCUUGCUUGUGUAGAAGUAACGUAUUUUAGAACAUCUCUGGUAAAUUUUGUCUUUUCUGCAGGCUUUUGUAAAAUUAUUUUGUUAAAUAUCAGUUUGGUUUAUUUCCUUCCACUUGUUGUGCAGUCCCUCCUGCUCCUUGCCUCAAACAUCUGUGUGCAGCUUGCCUGCUCUUUUUUGAGGUUUCAGUUUUCUUCAGCUCGUUCCUUUGAGUAAUUCAAUCCACUGAAUGAGAUCUGCUUUCCUUCAGUGCUUUCAAUCUGCAAGUGAUGUUCUCCACUUACGCUCUAAUUGCCUUUCCUAUAUUGAAGUCAAGAUCUUUUCUGCAAUCUUGUUAUUUCUUUUGGUCCUCUGUUACAAUUUUUACCUCAAACUAAGGAUUCCAUAAGCCCUCCAUACGACACAGUUGAUUCAACAGUUGCAACUCUGUUCUCAAAACCUCAACAGUCUUUUUUUUUUCCCCCCAUCUUUUUGUGUUCUCAUGUGAUAUUUUUGUCAUCAUCAUGAGAUCUCGCAAAAAUUUCUUUUCAUCUAAAAGAAUAACAAUAUUCAGCUUUCUUGAUCAUAAUCUCAUCUCCAGCCUGUUCUGAAUUUAUAUGCAUAUUAUCAACAAGGUUUCUGCUUCUCUCAUUAAAAUGCUGCCUUUAAUCACCUUAGUCUUAGCAAAGACCCUCUCCUGUGUCUUUGCUUGCCUUCAUGGAGGGGCACUCUUCUAGCUUAAUUCAAUCCCUUAUUGUGGGUUGUCAGGAUCAGAAUUAUUUGGGCCUUCUCAGCUCUAUGAUCUUGGCUCUGCUUUACUUCUUCUGUUUCUAGGUACAACUCAUUUGUAAUUGCUUCCACCUCAGGUAUCAUGUAGAGUUGCAAACUCAUCAUACUACAUGUUCAUUCCCUAUUCCAUUUAGAAUUUUCUAAAUGGAAUGAUAAGAAUCUGCCAGUAUUUAGCAGAAAAGUUUUUUUUUUUUGAAUGGUUUUUGUUUUCUUGUUUGCUUAUUUGUUUAGUCUGUAUUUACAAGGUGUUUUUCACCUGUUUGUCUCUGCAUGUGCAAGUAAAUAUUAUGAUAUAGUACAAGUUUAGUUAAGGUAAUAAAUAGCUGAAAUAGUUUUUUAGAGUGAAUAUUAUAAGGCAAGUAAAAUGUGCUUCCAACCCAUGUCAGGGGCAUCUCUUCCACAUAAAAACUCCUUAGGGCAUGGUUUGCCAUUCUUGUAGAGUUGUCAGUGACAAACAGUGAUAUGCAAUGUCUCAUCACCUUCCCAGCCUUUGGCCUGUGAGAUCUUGUUCCUAUAUCCUUGCCUUUGACAGUCACAUUCUGUGUUUUUCUGUACCUCAACACCUGCAUAGAAAGUCUAUAAACUAAAUCUGUGCUGAGCUUUAUGUGUAUAGUAGUUCAGAGUAGGAAGGUGCAUCAAAGUUUCUGGUGUUUCACCUUUGUCAUGGAAUCCCUUUGGAUCAGAGCUUAUUUUUUUUAUCCUACCUUGUGGUGAGCUAAGUUUGGGGAAAUAAAGGGAUGUUGAGCUAACUUCUCUGCCAGGUCUGGCUGCAGUCCCUGCAUUCUGAGGGGACAGGUGAUUCUGCUACGUCUAGGAUGAAAUCAUUUGAAGGUCAUUUUGAAUGUAUUGUUCUGUCAGAGUUUUUGGUGUUUGCUUCUUUAUUCUACUCUGUGCAGACAGAAGGUGGAGAGAAUGAUGUACUCUCAAGCAAAUAGCUGUGCAGUAGGGUUAAGGAGGUUGUGGGAGUUCAAAUGCAUAAUGUAUUUCUAAUACCAUAAACAUAUAGUAUGUCAUGAGAAAACCUCACACAGCUAGAGCAGGCUGGAAACCAAAGCUGUUGAUCAUACACUAAUAAAGUGAGUAAGGGUCACAAAUUAAAUGUUAACAUUGAGGCUGCAAUAGGAGGGGUGUUACUAAAUUUGGACAAAUAGGAUGAAGAAGGCUGUGGUUAAAUGGCAUUCCACUCACUGAAGUUAAUGAGCUAUUCCUGUCUCCACCCUGACCACAGGAUAUCAGGAGAUGAGGAGAAGAAUCUAAGACUAAGAAAGGUCUGAAGCGGAAAUGGGUUUAUUAAGUGGAACUAAAUGCCAGGACAGAAGCUCCCAUUCAGAGCUAAGGUGACCUUAGCUCACAUUUGUUUGACUAUCUCUGAGUACACUAACCACUGGCUCUCCUGUGAAUAAGGACAUCCAGGUUCAGCUGUUUCAUAAGAAGUAACUUGUUAAGGAUGUGCAAGGUAACUCCACGUUCCUUUUUAAACAGUUGAAGCUGUAAUUACAUCUAUCCAUAAACAUACUUUCUUCAUACUUCAACAAGAACAAAGAACAGCUGUUGAUGUUAGUAGCAUUGUGAGUGAGCACAUUUAUUUGACUUUCUGAGACAUAUUUUUGUCCAAACUUUUCCAGUUUGCUUAAGAUUUCCCAACAGCAUAAGACUUUCUCAACAGUUCUGGGGGCCUAGCCCAUUCCUGCUCUGUUCAGUGCUUAGUUGGUGUAAAGUUGUAAGAGCAAGCAGCAGUCUAAAGAAAAGUAGUUUAUUGAUGAAAAUUGUACUUUUACUUCCCACUAGACUCUGGCCACAUAAAGUGAGCCCUGAAGUUGUGCAACUCAUCUUCUUGGGCUCAGAAAUGUGCUCUGCAAUUUUAGGAUUUUAGCUAUGUCUUGACUGACAUGUGUUGAGUGAAACUUGGAUCUUUCAUUCCCUAGGAGAAGCUAAAAUUUGAUUUUAUUUCAGAGGUGAUGGCAAAGUAGAAAAUAAAUUAAUUUUAUUAUUAGUGUGUGACACAGACUAAGGAAAGAUGAGUUGGUUACUGAUACUGAUUUAAAAAUCUGUAUCAAAAAGUGUCCUUAGUUUUCAGCUUCUCUGUUCUAUCAGGAUUUAUAAGCAGUGGCAAUAUGGCAU